GUCAUCUGCUACAAAUAUCCAGUCAGCAAGUCCAACAACUUUGUCUGCUGAGACAACUCUACGAAGAUGUGUUUAGGUGGAACAUGGGUAGUUACCAUGUGGUCAUAGUCAGUGGUGCCGAGAUGAUCGCUGAUGUCCUGCUAACUCGUGGAGUGGAGUAAAGCCACAGACCGCCCUCGUUUUUAGCUAAAACUUAAGCGUACAGUAAAGGUGAAAAAUGAGAUGGCGCAAUGAAAAAAUGCAAAUUAUGGAUUUAUUUGUCUACCUCUUUUAUUACACCCUGAGAGUAGAGGGCGGGUAACUCUUCAAUCCAAUGAUCCCAAAGAUUAUCCUCGCAUUGAGCCCAACUAUUUAAAGAAACAGAAAGAUAUCGAGACUUUGAUCACAGGUAUACAGGAGUGUGAAAAGUUUGUUAACACUAAAACACUUCAAGACAUGGGUGCAGAGCUGGCAGAGAAAGUUCCGAUAAGUAUUUAUAAUGGGCACAAGUUCAGAUCUCAUGAUUACUGGCGAUGCCUCAUUAAAAGCAUGCCCCUAACUGCCUAUCACCCCGUGGGGACAUGUAAAAUGGGACCCAGGGGUGACCCGACCGCUGUCUUCGAUGCUGAUCUAAGGGUACAUGGUAUCUGCAAUCUGCGAGUAGUGGAUGCCUCCAUCAUGCCUUGGAUUGUUUCUGGAGACACAAAUGCAGCAACAGUUAUGAUAGCCGAAGUGGCUGCUGAUUUGAUUAGAUCAAAGACUCCAUUGAAACCUUCGAAUUUGUAAACUUUUGG